GGGUCAUUGGUCUAGGGGUAUGAUAUUCGCUUCGCAUUGCUCCUCUUUGAGAGUAUAUGACUGUGAAAGGUCAUGGGUUCAAUUCCCAUAUGAUCCA
rnacentral:tRNA from 1 species